rnacentral:lncRNA from 1 species
AAACCCUAGCCACAUUAUCCUCUUCUCUUCUCUUUCUCUCAGCCACGCCAUCCUCCUUCUCUCUUCCUCACCGUGGCUCUCUCCCUCUAUCUCUCUCUCUUUCUCUUCCUCUCUCCCUUGGCCGCUGCUCUCUCCUCCUCCAUCAGCUCCUCUUUCUUCUCUCUUAAACCCUAGCCGCCGCCGUCUCCUUCCAUGACGUUUUCCCGACGAACCGUGUGGAUCCACGAGACGAG